AUUGAACGCUGGCGGCAGGCCUAACACAUGCAAGUCGAGCGGAAGAAGGGUGCUUGCUCCUGGAUUCAGGGGCGGACGGGCGAGUAAUGCCUAGGAAUCUGCCUGUUUGUGGGGGAUAACGUCCGGAAACGGGCGCUAAUACCGCAUACGUCCUUAGGGCGAAAGGGGGGGAUCUUCGGACCUUACGCUAUCAGAUGAGCCGAUGACGGAUUAGCUAGUUGGUGGGGUAAAGGCCUACCAAGGCGACGAUCCGUAACUGGGCUGAGAGGAGGAGCAGUCACACUGGAACUGAGAGACGGUCCAGACUCCUACGGGAGGCAGCAGUGGGGAAGAUUGGACAAUGUGCGCAAGCCUGAUCCAGCCAUACCGCGUGGGGGAAGAAGGCCUUCGGGUUGUAAAGCCCUUUUGUUGGGAAAGAAAAGCAGCAGGUUAAUACCCCGCUGUUCUGACGGUACCCAAAGAAUAAGCACCGGCUAACUUCGUG
rnacentral:rRNA from 1 species